CCCGCGUUGGAUUAGGUAGUUGGUGGGGUAAUGGCCUACCAAGCCUACGAUCCAUAGCUGGUUUGAGAGGAUGAUCAGCCACACUGGGACUGAGACACGGCCCAGACUCCUACGGGAGGCAGCAGUGGGGAAUCUUAGACAAUGGGGGAAACCCUGAUCUAGCCAUGCCGCGUGAGUGAUGAAGGCCUUAGGGUUGUAAAGCUCUUUCAGCUGGGAAGAUAAUGACGGUACCAGCAGAAGAAGCCCCGGCUAACUCCGUGCCAGCAGCCGCGGUAAUACGGAGGGGGCUAGCGUUGUUCGGAAUUACUGGGCGUAAAGCGCACGUAGGCGGACUGGAAAGUUGGGGGUGAAAUCCCGGGGCUCAACCUCGGAACUGCCUCCAAAACUAUCAGUCUGGAGUUCGAGAGAGGUGAGUGGAAUACCGAGUG
rnacentral:rRNA from 1 species